GAUGAACGCUAGCUACAGGCUUAACACAUGCAAGUCGAGGGGCAGCAUAAACAUUGCUUGCAAUGUUUGAUGGCGACCGGCGCACGGGUGCGUAACGCGUAUGUAACCUACCUCAAACAGGGGCAUAACACUGAGAAAUUGGUACUAAUUCCCCAUAACACCUUGGGAGGCAUCUCCUGGGGUUGAAAAGUUUCCGGCGGUUUGAGAUGGACAUGCGUUGUAUUAGCUAGUUGGUGAGGUAACGGCUCACCAAGGCGACGAUACAUAGGGGGACUGAGAGGUUAACCCCCCACAUUGGUACUGAGACACGGACCAAACUCCUACGGGAGGCAGCAGUGAGGAAUAUUGGUCAAUGGACGCAAGUCUGAACCAGCCAUGCCGCGUGCAGGAUGACGGCUCUAUGAGUUG
rnacentral:rRNA from 1 species